GAUGAACGCUGGCGGCGUGCUUAACACAUGCAAGUCGAGCGAUGAAGUUUCCUUUGGGAAACGGAUUAGCGGCGGACGGGUGAGUAACACGUGGGUAACCUGCCUCAUAGAGUGGAAUAGCCUUCCGAAAGGAAGAUUAAUACCGCAUAACGUUGAAAGAUGGCAUCAUCAUUUAACCAAAGGAGCAAUCCGCUAUGAGAUGGACCCGCGGCGCAUUAGCUAGUUGGUGGGGUAACGGCCUACCAAGGCGACGAUGCGUAGCCGACCUGAGAGGGUGAUCGGCCACAUUGGGACUGAGACACGGCCCAGACUCCUACGGGAGGCAGCAGUGGGGAAUAUUGCACAAUGGGGGAAACCCUGAUGCAGCAACGCCGCGUGAGUGAUGAAGGUUUUCGGAUCGUAAAGCUCUGUCUUUGGGGAAGAUAAUGACGKACCCA
rnacentral:rRNA from 1 species